CCUUGCUCCCCUAGCACACACCACCCUCUCUCUCUGUGUCUCUCUCUCACCCUGCUUUCCAAUCACCCCCCGGGAGGUGACAUCUGCCGGGAUGUGCUCGGCUGGUUCCAGAUGCACCACCGCCUCUUCCACCGCCGCCACCCGAACGAGUGAGCAAGCGAACGACACCCUGGCACUCAUUUCAAUUCCAUCACCCUCUCCCAAUCAUCUUGCCUCUCCCCAGUGCAACAUUAACGAGCCUCUUUCAUUUGAAUACAUAAUUAGCCGCCCGAGCACUCUGCUUCACUAAUUUUGAGACAAAAGGAUGGAGGAGACAAGGGGGGUGGGCAGUGGGGAUGGGGGGGUGGGGGGUGAAAGGGUGGGGGUGGCAUGUGGGAUGAAGAGGAUGAGGCAAAUAAUGAUAACAAAAAAAAAAAAGAAAAAAACAUUUGCAUUUUAAUUUAGAAGCAGAGGGGACUGAGUUUUUUUUUUUUUUUCAGGAUCCUUUUUCUUUGUCUUUGUCUCUUCCUCUCUCUUGCCCUUGCUCUCUAUAGUAUCUGCUUUUUUUCAGAUUUUCUAGUUUAUUUUAUACUGCAUACUCUCAAACAGUGUACAUUUUAAUGUGACUGCAUUUGCCUUUAAGUUGCACUUAGUAUGUGUGUAUCUGUAAGUGACAAUGCAUGCAUGUGUGUGUGAGUGAAUCCAUCACCAGCCCUCGGGGCAUGCAUCGCUCCCAAGCCAAAAUAAACCCCACUUACUCUUGCACAAUAAAUCAUUCUUCUCAAUGAGCUGAAGCCAGCUGAGACGCUCUUUAGUGCAUAACAAUAUCAUCUACAUUCAAUAAACAUUGCUCCUAUUGCCCUCACUGUGGGUGAGUUCAGUUUGUGAGAUAACAGCCUUGAGGCUAUUUCAGUGGACUGACAGAAAUGAACAUGUAUCCAGACUAUGACACACUCCUAACUAACGCUCUAACAAUGACCUCUAUUUUCUCUUUGGUAUGUUUUCUGUGAGUAUACAUGUAACUGUGGAAAAAAAGACAGUACCAAGAGACAGACAAGGGAGAGUGGAGAUCAAAGGUAACAAAGUAGACAGAGGCAGUGCCAAAGAGAAGAGAAGAAAAAACACUGAAAAGAGGCUGCGUUCCACUAUGUGUACUUACACAGCCUGUGAAAGUGAUGUCGUCUCUUUUCCUUCUUGGUACUGUGCCAGGCCUGGCCUCCUGUCAGCCAUCGGGGGAGCCAAAUGACAGCUUUGAUCCUAUUAGGAUCAGCGCCAAAUCAACACUUUGCUCAUUAAGGGCCUGCACAAGCCAGCUAACAACGCGCCCGCCUUCUACGCCGACCCUCCGUGCCAAGCAGCCAUGCCCUGUGAGCGCCAGCAUCACCUGCCGUCACCGGGUGAAUGCAGAAGCAUGCUAGAAAUGCUUUGCUGACUCAGCGCUGACUCAGCACUCUUAAGUAUUUUACAGUUUAGCUACAAUUUUUUGUUCUGUGUGAAGAAAGUCAUUUUAAUGAAGUUGCUGGUUGGUUUUAAUUAAUGUUCAGCCAUCUUUUACUGUUAACAAACCAACAUUUACAGUAUAUAUAUAUUUAAAAGUACUACCUUCAUUACUAAAACAUGCCUGCUGCUUCACAGAAACAAUUUUCCC
rnacentral:lncRNA from 1 species